UACGUAGGGUGCGAGCGUUGCCCCGGAUUUUAUUGGGGCGUAAAAGGGGCGCGUAGGCGGCUCGGCACGUCCGUUUGUGAAAAUCGCCCGGCUCAACUGGGGCGGGGGUCAGCGGAUACGGCCGAGCUUGAGCAAGCUAGGGGGGCAAUGGAAUUCCCGGGUGUAGUGGUGGAAUGCGUAGAUAUCGGGGAGGAACACCAGUGGCGAAGGCGGUUGCCUGGAGCUUUGCUGACGCUGAUGCGCGAAAGCGUGGGGAGCGAUCCGG
rnacentral:rRNA from 1 species